rnacentral:lncRNA from 1 species
CUGGAGAAGAUCCUGUGGCGGCCCUGGAUUUCUUCCGAGCAGGAGAUGGGGAAGAUGUUCCAGAAGGGGCUGGGCGCUUAUCCCCGGUCUUUAGUGGAAUGCCUUCAGAUCCCUCAGGCCCAGUCCCCACAGAGGCAGGGGCAUCUUGGGAAGGAACAUCUGGGAUUUGGUCCUCUAUGAGGAUGAUCUCCAUCCCUGUCCCAGAGGCCUCCUUGUCUUCAGUAACGGGGGACUUAGAUUUUCCCCCUGACACCCCUUCAGGA